AAAUUAUCUUGCAUUAGACAUUACAAUUGAAAAUCAUAAGAUAACCUUAAUUGCUAUUUAUGGUCCAAAUAUGGACGAUCCAGGUUUUUAUGAAAAAAUAUCAGAUAUCAUUGAAGAUUUUGAGAAUCAAUAUUUUGUAAUCUGUGGUGAUUUUAAUCUUGUGCUUAAUCCUGAAAUAGAUUAUUACAAUUACUUACAUGUAAACAAUCCAAAAGCCAGGUUAAAAUUAUUGGAAAUUAUAGAUAAUCAAAGUAUGGUUGACCCAUACAGAGAACUAUAUCCAGAUAGAAGACGUUAUACUUGGAGAAAAAAGUCACCACUGAAACAGUCAAGGCUGGACUUCUUUCUCAUAGCUGAUGUGUUAUUACCUUCUUUAAAAGAUUCAUAUAUAGAAUCAAGCUAUCGAUCAGAUCACUCCAUCAUAGUUUUGCAUUUAGUAUUUAAUGAUUUCAAAAGGGGAAAAGGACUCUGGAAGUUUAAUAAUUCAUUGCUAUCUGACCAAGAAUAUUUAGACACAAUAAAUGUAAAAAUUGAAGAUAUAAAAAAUCAGUAUUCUGCAAUACCACUUUCAGAAAAGCAGAACAUUAUGAAUUCAGAUUUUUUGUUAAGUAUCGAUGAUCAAUUAUUUUUUGGAAACCUUGUUAAUGGAAAUAAGAGGUAAAACUAUAGCAUUUAGUAGCUACAAGAAAAGAAAAGAGAGGGACAAAGUAGAAAAUCUUACAAAAGAGAUUCAAAGGGCAGAAGAAAAUAUUAACAGCAAUACUGACUUUCAGAGUCUUGAGGAAAAAAACAAGAGCUUAAAGACAUUAGAGGGAAAAAAUUAAGAGGGAGUGUACUAAGAUCCAAGGCAAUAUGGAUCUCAGAAGGUGA
rnacentral:lncRNA from 1 species